rnacentral:rRNA from 1 species
AACGACUCUCGGCAACGGAUAUCUCGGCUCUCGCAUCGAUGAAGAACGCAGCGAAAUGCGAUACUUGGUGUGAAUUGCAGAAUCCCGUGAACCAUCGAGUCUUUGAACGCAAGUUGCGCCCGAAGCCUUCCGGCCGAGGGCACGUCUGCCUGGGCGUCACGC